rnacentral:lncRNA from 1 species
GACGGGAUUUCACCAUGUUGCCCAGGCUGUUCUUGAACUCCUGCCCUCAAGUAAUCCUCCCGCCUCAGCUUCCCAAAGUGCUGAGAUUACAGGCAAGAACCUCUGUGCCCGGCUAUAAGGACUUCAAAAGACUGACAACCCAGGAGAAACUGAGGCAGCACUGGCUGUUGGGAGAGGAGCCUCUCAGAAGCACACAUAUAGGGGACUGCCGUUGGUUUGAGGCAGCUGGAAACAAUCUUUAAUAAGCAGCCCUCAGGACAACCAGUGACUCCUUUGCAGCAGGUGAGGGAGGGGCUUCUGGGAAAUUCAUUCGAACCAC